CGACUGUCACCGAAGGA
rnacentral:misc_RNA from 1 species